rnacentral:rRNA from 1 species
UACAGAGGUCUCAAGCGUUGUUCGGAUUCAUUGGGCGUAAAGGGUGCGUAGGCGGGUCUUUAAGUCAGGGGUGGAAUCCUGGAGCUCAACUCCAGAACUGCCUUUGAUACUGAAGAUCUUGAGUUCGGGAGAGGUGAGUGGAACUGCGAGUGUAGAGGUGAAAUUCGUAGAUAUUCGCAAGAACACCAGUGGCGAAGGCGGCUCACUGGCCCGAUACUGACGCUGAGGCACGAAAGCGUGGGGAGCAAACAGG